rnacentral:rRNA from 1 species
UAGGGAAUCUUCCGCAAUGGGCGAAAGCCUGACGGAGCAACGCCGCGUGAGUGAUGAAGGUCUUCGGAUCGUAAAACUCUGUUAUUAGGGAAGAACAAACGUGUCAGUAACUAUGCACGUCUUGACGGUACCUAAUCAGAAAGCCACGGCUAACAACGUGCCAGCAGCCGCGGUAAUACGAAGGUGGCAAGCGUUAUCCGGAAUUAUUGGGCGUAAAGCGCGCGUAGGCGGUUUUUUAAGUCUGAUGUGAAAGCCCACGGCUCACCCGUGGAGGGUCAUUGGAAACUGGAAAACUUGAGUGCAGAAGAGGAAAGUGGAAUUCCGUGUGUAGCGGUGAAAUGCGCAGAGAUAUGGAGGAACCCCAGUGGCGAAGGCGCCUUUCUGGUCUGUAACUGACUCUGAUGUGCAAAAGCGUGGGGAUCAAACAGG